AGAAACUUGGUGAGUUCUACAUUGGAGAUGUAUUCAUUUUAACACGCCAAAGUGCAUAUUAUUAUUGCGAGAAAAUGAAAGUUUGGGGACUGAAACACUAAAACAAAAUACAUGCAGUAUGGUAGACGAAGGUGUAGUUGAAUGGUGAGACAAAAUCAUGCAGUUCCUUUGAGCUUCUUGGUGAUGCCAGCAAUGUACAUCCCCUGGUGAAAAGCUUGCGCCAACUCUAUCUCAGAAGGCUGUCUUGAGCCGUCCCCAGCGUAAGUUCCUGCACCAUAGGGGGAACCACCCUUCACCUGCUCUAUCUCAAACAUGCCAGCUCCAAAUGUAUAUCCAAUUGGAACAAAGAUCAUGCCAUGGUGAACAAGCUGGGUGAUGGCUGUCAAACUGCACACAGUUUCCACAAGUGAGAAAAAUCUUCUGCACUGUAAUUAGCCGAUGAGAAAAAAAGAAGCAAAGAUGCCUAAUAAAGAAAGCCUUAGGAAUUGGGGGAUUUGAGAAAAGGGAGCUUACGGAGUAGUCUCUUGUCCACCUCCUUGAGACCCAGUGCUAUAGAAAAGGCCUGCAGGCUUGCCUGCAAGCUGCUGUGUUCUCCAUAGCGCUCCAGUUGCAUCCAAGAAUGCUUUAAAUUGACCAGCCAUCAUUCCAAAUCUAGUGGGGAAACCAAAGAUAAACCCGUCGGCCUCAGAAAGUUCAUUUGGUUUAAUAACUGGUACAUCACUCUUAGGUGGUGCCCCCAUCAGCCCAAGAACAUCCUCAGGGAGUGUUUCAGGUACCUGCUUGCAGAUUGAGGAACAAGUGAAUGCAUGUUAAACCACAUAUUCCAAUCAGAAGCAUAUGAUCAACAAAUUGUGUAAAAUUUUGAAAAUCCCAUGAAAAUAGCAAUCCUGUUUUCCAUUUUUUCUUUUGUUUUAGAUAAUACAAUACAUUUUUAAAACACAGUUGCCAAAUAAGGUCUUACAUUCUCAAAAGUCAACAUAGAGUAGAUAUUUUGGUAUGCAAUUGGCAAGUCAUACUGAAAAAAUGGUAGACCUCAAAAUUUUUAACACGACCCACCCAAAUAAAUGCCAGGUUACCUCAAAAUUUUAUACUCAGAAAAAAAAUUACUAAUUACAAUUCUUUCAGACUUAUAGAUGUGUUAUAUGCAAGUUAAAAAGGGAAUUUAUGCUUUACAACUGUUUAAAAGAAUAAGUAAUUAACUUAAAAAAACCACCCACCUGCCAUAGUUUCACUUCUACCCCUUCCACAGAUUCAGCUCCUUUCUUUAUCUCUUGAGCAAGCUUUUCAACAUGUCCAUACAUUGAAUAGUAACUGUGCAGAAUUAAAUAGUUUCAUAUUAUAUUAUAAAGAUGUACUAACACAAAUGAAGACAUUGACCCAUAAAAUUAGGGCUGAUGAAUUGUCAAUGCAGAGAAAUGGGUGCAUAAUGGAUCCAUGGGUUAUAAAGAAUUCUGUGCCAGGAAAAAAAUAAGUGGAAUAAAAGAAACGUAGUGCAAUCAACAAGAUCCAAGAUUUUGAAUAUUUUAAGAAUUUCAAGUUUUGUGCACAUUAGAGAUUCUACUAAGAACUAAUUUCAGUCAUGAUGAAUGUGAGGUCCACCAUCCAAAAGAUAAUGAAUAUAGAAACCACAUAAGUUAAAAUAACUUUACUUAAGAUCAAAAAAGAAGUAUGACUUCCUUUUUCCCAGUUUUCCUGACAAUGGAAAACAUGAUAUGGAUGAAGAAAGGGAUCCCUUAAUAAUCAAACAGAACCAAUAAAUACACUGCAUAUGUUGGGUCACAUGGUACGAUGACCACAACUCUACUGAUUUACCAGAGCUAAUGGGUCUUCUGCAGAAUAUGACUUGAUCCCCCUUUCUUCUUCUCCUUUUUUACGACUAUCCAUUUCUAAGAACAAUAUAAAAGAUAUAAGCCUCAUUGCAAAUCCAGGCCCCAAUUACAAUUGGGCGAAUGGGUUCAAACUUACAUGAAAUAGUUUUGGCUUUUUUUUUUCUUCUCAAAAAUCUUAAUGGAAACUGAAUCUGGUACUGCAAUUGAGAAAAUUACAAGUGAAAAAGUGUAAGCAUUAACAUUGCAGAUAAGUGAAAAUGCAGAUCCCACCCCACCCAUUAACCCACCUACAAACAAGGCCAGUCUACCAAAAUUCUUGAUCAUAAUUUAUGAUUUUGCAACCCAACAGUCCACCAGGAAGCAUUCAUGUAAUCUCUAUGUUCACAUGGCUGAGAAGAAAAAUCAGAAGAGCACAACAUCUAUUGCAGUUUAAAGUAGAGAUUCAAAUCGCAGAAACAACACCCAGAAAGAUGAAACAGAGAUCAUAAUCAUAAAAUGACGGAAUAACAAAUAUCAAAUCAAAUCAAGACCAUCAGAAGAUCAUAAAAGGAAUCAUAUACAUGCACAAAGAGAUCACGGAGAGAAGGAUAGAUGGUAAUGCUUACACGAUAUAGAGUUUGGCAGCCAUUAAUGGAGUAUCUGUUGCUCUCUCCACGCUUUGUCUCUCCUUUGUGCUUGUGGGUUUAAGCGAAAAGUUGAAAGGGAAAAUGAAAGUUGAUAAAUGAAGCACAGAGGAGGUGUCAUUUAUAGCGACUUCUCAGCCAAGCACCGGGCCGGGGCGUUUGAAAAUAAUUAUUCUUCCCUAAAAAGAAUAUCCAUAUCUAAUCCAGAAAGUCUUCAUACCUUAUUUUUUUUAUCAAUGAAAAGAAGGGACAAAUUUUCAAUUACGGAAACAUUUCAUUCCUUUCUUCUACUGAUGAUCAUCCUCAAAUUCAAUCAGCUUUCACCUUUUAGCCUGUAAUAUCAAUAGUUCAAAAUUGCAAAUGAUCAUUUUCGAGGACAUCAAAUAGAAUUGGAGUACUAUUCUGUAGGAAAAAUAUAUUAUGACUCUGGAAAAGUCAUCUGAUAUUGAUGGUUCUUUCUAUGAUGAAGACAAUGCAUUAAAAUAUACGAACUGUCAACUGUUUCUGGGUAUGCUUAUGGGGAAAUUAUCCAAUCUGCAAAUGUGAUCGGUGGAAUCACAUGCAUGCAGGCGGCUGAAAAAGACUGCCAAGGAAAAUUUGCUCAUUUUUUGGGUUGUUUGGAAUUUUAUUUAGACACGCUUCAUAUAGAAAAAUUAACUUGUAUCAAUUUGGACACUAGUGUUUUUUUUUUUUUUUUUUCUAAUUAAUUAAGGUUAUGAUGUGUGCAAUAUGUCUGCAUGACACAAUGUCAUGAAAAGGGAAAUUGAUUAGUGGAUGGAUAAGCUUUCAUUUCCAUAUUAUUUCUUGUAGUCUCAAAAGAUCAUCCUCUUUCUCAUUUCGCUUUUAUAUAUACUAGGAAGUUUUAACGUGCCAUGCACAUGAGCUAAUACAAAAAAAAUCCAAUAAAAAAAAAGAAUAUGUGAAUUUAUUCUUUUAAAAUAUUUAUAGAAAACUAAUGAAAAAGAGAUUCAAAGUAAAAAAAAUUGAAUUAGACAUAAAACAAAACAGAAAAAAAAAUUAUUAGGCUGAAAUAUAAAUAUAAAAAAAAUUAUGAAUUAGACAUAAAACAAAAUGGGAAAAAAAUUAUUAAGCUGAAAAAAAAAAUGACUUGGAUGGAAUAUAAAUAAAGUUACACUUUUCCAUAUCAAAAUUUUAGAUAGUAAAAUUAUUUUUAAAAUUAUUUUUUUCGAAGUUAAGCAAAAUAAAUAUUACAUUAGUCCUUAGCAAUACCAAAUUUUAUUUAUUUUACAAAAAGUAUAUGAAUAUUAAAAGAAAUACAAAUUAGAUUAAUUAUCCAAACAUAUUUUUUUCUUACAUACUUUCCUUGUCAAUUUCUUUUAAUUUUAUCAAUUUAUUUACACAAAAAAACUAUAUGAUAUUGGAUUGUAAUACAAAAUCAUAGUAAAAAGAAAUCAUUAACAAAUAAAAAAUAGAAAUAUCUUAUUAAGAAUAAAAAUUUGAUCUCCCAAAUACGCUUGGUAUUCCAUUUUCAAAUCAUUAAAUAUAGUUAUUUAAAAUUUCCUUAAUAAUAGUGGUUGGUAUUUAAAAAAAUAAAAUAAAUAAAGAUUGUGAAAAAAAAUCUAGUAAUUCCAAAAUGAAGAUUUAGCUAAACUAAAAAUGAAAAAAAAAACUCUUAAAAAAACACUUAAUUUCAAUUAAAAUAAAUAACUAUAUUAUUCUUAUUAUAAGAUUUAAGUUGUGAAUAUUAGUUAAAAAGAAAAUUAAAAGAAAUAAAAUAAGAAAAAUUAAAAACAUUUGUAGAAAUACUAAAUUUAUAGCAUAAUUAAGAAUCUCCAAUUCCUAUAGACAUUGUAUUAUAAAAUAAAGAAGUUUUCAAUUAUUAUGGAUAUUGGAUUAUAAAACAAAGAACUAUAGUUUCCGAUUCGUAUAAACAUUGGAUUAUAAAAUAAAGAAAUGAAUUUCUUUCUAGAAUAAUAAUUUAUAUUAAAAAAAAUGAAAGAUUUUAUUGCUUAAAGAGUUCUCAUCAUUCUAAAAUUAACAUUCAAUUAAAAGUAUUUACAAAAAUACUAAAAUUAUAAAAUAAGUAGCAAACUUCAAUUCCCAAAAAAGUUGGAUUAUAAAAUAAAGAAUUAGAAUUUAUUAAAAAAAAAUGUAUACAUGAAUACUAAAUUGGAUUAGCUCUCAAAUUUACCACACACCUAGGGUUCCAAUCUUUCUCUGAUAAACAUAUAAGCAAAAUCAUCAAGAACACUAAAUGACAACACUAAUUAACCUAAUUGUGUUCUAAAAAACCCCAUUGAGUGCUAAAAAUUGUCAACUCCAUAAACACAAUUCCUUCUUUAAACAAAUAGGGGAUAAACAACAAUCUCCUUUCACCAAUAUGCGUGUUAUGGUUACUUAGUCCCUAAAACACAAAAGAAAAGCAUAGUUGAAUAUGGAGUAUCACCACUUGUUGAACCAAUCCUCCAAAUUACUUUUGUGAAACUCAAUAAAAGUUUAUUCGCAAGUAGGGACUGACAAUGAUUUCACUNNNNNNNNNNNNNNNNNNNNNNNNNNNNNNNNNNNNNNNNNNNNNNNNNNNNNNNNNNNNNNNNNNNNNNNNNNNNNNNNNNNNNNNNNNNNNNNNNNNNNNNNNNNNNNNNNNNNNNNNNNNNNNNNNNNNNNNNNNNNNNNNNNNNNNNNNNNNNNNNNNNNNNNNNNNNNNNNNNNNNNNNNNNNNNNNNNNNNNNNNNNNNNNNNNNNNNNNNNNNNNAUGAUGACCAUCUCAGCUAGCAUCACUCCUCACCCGAACUAAGAGUACUGAAAAAUUUUCAACAAUUGGGAAUGAGCUCACAGCCCAAUAAGGAAAAUUAAUGCAAUUCAUGGAUCAAAUAUUUUCAUUUCAAAUAGGAGAUAUCAUUUUUUUUUUCUCAUCAAAUAUCAGAGUUUCAAAAAUACCAAUAUAUUCAAAAUUCAACCAACCAUUUUCAGAUUAAAUUCAAACACUUUCACAUAAGAUUCAAUCAAAUCCAUUCAAUUUUCAUUACUCUGGUUAUCAAAUAUCAAAUGCCCAGUUAGGUGGGACUUUUCAAAUGGGUGGCUAGCCUCAAAUUGUUCCUGGUGGACGGAACCAAACACUACUAGUACUAGUAACCUCUAACCAAACCCCUAGAGGCUGGGGUCCAAAUCAAUUACAUUCUCACCAUGAAAUGUAAAGGUCAACUAUUAUAUCCCGUUGACAGGGCCGAAUAGUCAACUAUUAUAUCCCAUUGACAAGGGCCAAAUAAACUAGAGUGAUGUUUUUUUUUGUUCAAGUAUUCAAAUUUACACAACAUAAUAUCUCCAUAUUUUGUGUCAUAAAUAAAACAAAAUAUUCCAACAUAACAUUUAGUGCAAAACAAUUUGAUCCAUGCAUGGUAACAAAAUAUCAUUUUAUUUUCCACAAUUCAAAAUAACAUAUAAAAGAAUUUAAUUUUAUAAAUAUUACAUUAACUUCCCUUACCUCAAAAGAAGUCCUUGAAAGCUUGGGAAAAGAAUAAUUCUGAAAAAAAUAUAAUCUACUCUUCACCUAAUAUACAUAAGAGAAACAAUUAUUACUAUUUAUUUAUAAUUUAACUAAUCUAUUCCUUAUUUAAAUAAAACUAAUAAAUUCUCAAUUUGUUUCUAAUAACACAUUACUAAUUUAAUUAAAUUAUAACUUUAUUUCAUUAUAAAAUUCUAUAUAUAUUACUAAAUCUCUCAUUUUAUUUAUUAUAAAAAUACCAUUAUUACUAUUAUCUUAUUUAUUAAUCUAAAACUAAAUAUCAUUUUUUUUUUAUUAUCCAAUUCAAUAGCUACCUAACCAUUACUCAUUCUCGGGUACACCAAACCAAACCAAAAAGCAAGUUUUUUUUUUUUUUUUUUUUGCCAUCAUCAUGAUUCAUUAUAUAUAUAUAUAUAUACUCCUUCCAUUUGGCUUCCAGCACAGUACACGUACGCCCCCCAUUUUUUUUUUUCCUUCCUUCCUUCCAGUGUUGUGCACACGCGUUUUUUUUUUUUUUUUUUUUAAUUAACCCUAACCUAAAAUCGAAAUAUUCCAAGGAUUUUUUUUUUUUUUAAUAAAACUUAAGAUCUCCCAAAUUCCAAUACUAAAAAAAAAAUAUUAAAUUUUCACUAUUUGAUAUUAAAACGAAUUAAAAAAAAUAAUCUAACCCUAAUCUAGAUUUGGGGUUUUCCAAAAAAAAUAUAUCUAAUGUGUUUGAAAUUAAUCAAUGAAUCUAAAAUAUUAUACUAGGGGUUAGAAUCUUACCUAUAGAGAUCUGUUCUUCAACCCUGGAAUCUGACUCCAACCUUACGUUCUCUGGAAUUCUGCGAACAGGAACUCUAUUCAGAAAAGAAGGGAAAUAAUAAAAUUUCUAAUUUAUACCUAGGGUAUUAAUCGUAAAAUUACUCUUUUACCCUUUUUUUUUAAAUUAAUUAAUUAACUAAUUUAAUUAUUAAUAACAAUUUCCUAAAUUACCCUUAAAAGAAAAUGCUUGGGCGUUACAUCCUCCCCUCCUUAACAAAAGUUUAGUCCUCUAAACUUGACAUACCUGAGUCUUGAAAUAAUUGAGGAUGCUUUUCUCUCAUCUCUUCUUCUAACUCCCAAGUGGCCUCUCGGAUACUAUGAUUGCUCCACUGGACCUUUACCAACUUGACAACAGCAUGUCGUAGUAUCUUAUCCAUCACAUCCACAAUUUGAACGGGUACCUCUUCAUAGGUCAAGUCCUCAAAAAUUUGAAUAGGCUCCAACUCCACAACAUGAGAAGGAUCAUAAAUAUACUUCCUUAGAAUCGAAACAUGAAACACAUUAUGAACCUUAGACAGGCUUGGGGGUAAGGCUACUUUAUAUGCCAAAGUGCCUAUUCUUUCUAAUAUUUCAAACGGACCCACAAAACGAGGACUAAGUUUUCCUUUUCUCCCAAAUCUCAUCACAGACUUCAUAGGUGAAACUUUCAAGAACACAUGAUCACCCACCUCAAACUCCAAAUCUCGCCUACGAUGAUCANNNNNNNNNNNNNNNNNNNNNNNNNNNNNNNNNNNNNNNNNNNNNNNNNNNNNNNNNNNNNNNNNNNNNNNNNNNNNNNNNNNNNNNNNNNNNNNNNNNNCUAAUGGAAAAAAAUGCAUCAUUUCUUGCCACGUGUUGAAGGUUUCUAGAAAUUUACAGAAGGCGAUGAGUUAUGAUUGCUCUCAUUCGCUUCCCUCUUUAAUGUGGUACCUCUCCGCUUUCUUAUUAUUUCUUUUUCUCCUUUUUUAAACAUUUUUGGUUAUCCAUCGACUUUCCUUAUUUACACCCUUCUCUUUCUCUUUUAUCAUGUUAUUUAGUUUGGCUUUAGAGAACUGCUUCACUCAAGGAGUUUUCUUCUUCAUCUUUGCAAGUAGUGAUUUGUUGUUCAAUCUUCCUUGUUUGGUGAGUAAGUUUCUUGACGUUUCCUUUAAAUUUACUGUCUUGAUUUCAGUAGAUUUUUUUUUUUUUUUUUCUAGUUUGCUUUCCACUAGUUUUCCUUCUUGUAUUUCCCUACGUUCUUUGCGUCUCCUUGGAAAGCUUUUUCUUUCCAUUCAUAGUAUUAUUUCCUCAAGGGAUUUUUUGGGGGUCGGCUCUACGUUUUCUUAGUGGCUAAAUUGAUGUCUUUUGUAUAAGUGUCUUAGCUUGUCCCUUGAAAAAAAAUGUCACGAUCAAAUUUUGGUUGUUCAUCUAGUUUUACUUAGACUGAAGGGGAAGUGAUGGAGCCUACUGGGGACUAUGUCGCAUCCCACAGCCUAGAGGAAAGUCCACAUGAUUUAAGUAGUGACGGGUUAAGUCAUGGAAUAACCUUGGCCCAGGUAUGAGAACUUGAUUUUUGAUGUUCAUACUCCAUUCUUGAAGAUGUAGGUAUUCACUUCCCUAGUGAUCCUUUGGAGGUUCAUGAUACUACCCAAGUGUGGGAGCCAAAUGAUUUGAUGUAUUGGCCUUGUGAUCACCUUGCGGUGGGGCUUGGUGCAUCAGUUUCUAUACUGAAAAUGCUAAAAAAUCUUCAUAAAUAAUUGAAAAUUUUGGUUCUACCAUUUCUGGAUUCAAAGGAGGUUUCUUCAUGCAGAAAUGAGUUUCAGGGUUUUUGAGAGAGUUUUUUCAAGGGGGAGCCGACCUCUCUUUGGUUGGGGAGGAGCUACAUAUAUGCUCCUCCUACAUGAAGCUUCGGGAGAGUUUCUUCCCUCUUUCUUCCAUAUGUUUGACUAUCUUUUUUAGUAUCUAGCCAACUCAUUGCUGACCUUGACCACCAGCGGCCAAAAAAGUGGUUGUAGAUUUGCUUUUAAUGGUAGGUAGGAAAGCGGAUUGGUGUUAAUUGAAGGUUAUAUCUUGUAGAGGACCUUAAUCAUAGGUACAUUUUGGGAUGUUUAUUUUUGGCAAGAUCAUAUACUAUACUCGAAUACAUCUCGGACAUGUGCACUUGAACAUUAUUCACAUUCUAGUUGGUGUUUCCAUCCUUUAACUUUAUUCAUGAGUUACACUUGGGCUUAGAGGAGGUCUGUUUUAUUUAUCCUUUAAAAUUGUCUGCUUGGGGAAGUUCUCUCUCCGUUGAUACUCAUUCCUUACAACUAGUGGUCGGGUUGCCUACCACCAGCAAAGGGGCGACUUGUGGUAACGUCAUAGUGUUGGGAAAUUGGGGUUGUAACCUAGGAGGAUCUUCACAGGAGUUCCCCUUAAACGGGUCCUUUUGUAAAUCUGGUACAGUUUGAUUUUGCCCGUUUCUCUCUACGAUUUGUUCCCUUCAACUUCUCCCUUCCUGUUUUCUUUUUCCUUUUUCUUUCUACAAACUUUCCUGUUGUCAUUCAAACAAGUCUCAGUGAACGGGGUAGACGAGUUGAAUGGCUUCCACCAGAGGGUUUUGAUAAGGUUAACUUCAUGCUUCACCUUAGCGAAAAGGAAAUUAAGAUAUUACCAAUCACUUCUGUCAUCAUCCCGAUUGAAGGCGAUUUUGAUGAACCUAGUGCAUUUUCGUAUUCAACAAAUACCCCGUCUUCUCUUUGGACAGGUAUAACCCCCCAGCUUCAUCUUGGCUAUAUAGACAUUAAACAAGCUGAAACGGUUGCUCGUGAGCGGGAACGGGCCGAAGAUUAAAGGGUUCUGGUUACCGCAGCAAGUGAAGUGAAUCAGACCGUGGUUAACUACGUUACUUCCUCUUUGUCAGUUAAGAAUUCUCUCGUGAUCAAUAUUGACUGAGACGAGUGAGGGUGCAACAAUGAGUUCUUCCGGACGUCCCUUUGGUGAAUACUGUCAGUGGUCUGUCUCGCGGCUCCAAGAAGAUAAGCAAACGGUUUCGAGCAUUUUCUGAUUCUGUGGGGCCUUCUUUUAAACGCCCUGCUCGUUAGCCUUCACUUCUCCCACGAGAUGAUCGGCCCAUAAUUCCUCGAUCGACUGCUCCUCCUGUGAAUAGGGAACCAUGCCCAGUUAUGCCCCCGCAACCACUGUUGACAACUGGGGGGUGUUUUUUAGAAGGGUACAUCUUUUUUCAAAAAAGAUGUUCCACCAUUUUUCACUCACUGAUUUGAUGCCUAUACCUCAUUCUGUGGCAUCGUCUUCACUGCAGCCGUCUUUAAUGCUUGUUCCAGACGAUCUAGACGAGCGUAAUACUCGUGUUAUAGAAUUGCUUUUUCACCUUCUUUUUCCUUGGUUUGUGUUACUUCGUUACUCUGUUUUCUUUUCAUUUAGUUUUACCUUCUUUUUAUUACUCCUAUCUUUUUGUUUGUGCGCAAAUUUAGUAUCGUCGAAGGAUUUAUAUUGCCACUAUCAAAUGAUGUGGGACAAGCUAAAGGACCACACAACUAAGGGAUAUUGCUCUGGCCAUGUGUCAGCACCCGUACCUUGACCUGGACACUAUGGCCACUAAGGGUAUCAUGGGUGGGCACCUUGCACCCAUGAGGGCAGCCUUGAGGGAAGAAAUAAGGUGAAAGUGGGUUUGUGGCAUCAGAUCGGCAAAAGGACUGCAGCACUUGGGCAGUACAAGGAGUCGUGUGCACACUAGCCGCAGGCAAAGGCAGCACAAGGGUAGUUCUCGAGCUGUCCCCUUCAAAAUGGAGCUGGGAUUGUUAGGUAUGUUGCCUAAAGCUUGCGACAGAAGGCACAAGUCAAGCUUUGGUUUCAAUGCCAGAUUGCUAAUUAAACAGGUUGGAUGAUCCAAUUGGGCAACAGCAGUGUACAAUGUGGGAUUCAACUCUUUCUGAAGGACUUAGUCUUGGUUUCAGUGCUGAUUAGUAGUCCCUUGUGAUGAAAGGUGAAGGCCGUGUAGAAUAGGUUUCUCCAACUUCGAUAUGGAUUAGAGCAGAUCUAUGAUCUAUCCAAGAGAUUGCAAACCCAACAGAUAAAAGGAGAAUGAAAAAGGUGGCCUGAAACUGAGAAAAAUACUUUCUGCACAUAUGUAAGUUAUUGUCAUGACUGGGACAUUCUCUCUCUCUCUCUCUCUCGAUGAGAUCACAUGGAUCACUCUUGGAGAUAUUCUCUUGUAAAAAUCCUUUUCGUAUGUAAAUAUGUUUACAAAUGGGUAACCACGUCUUUCACUAUAUAGAUAUGUGAUAUGGAUUAAUUGGGAACAGUCCAUCUGUAUUUUCAGUUUCUUUAAUUCGAAUUUUCCACGCCUUUGUUCUUGGGACCACAUCUUGAUACACAAGUGACACUGGAGAGAGAUCUUAUUCCCUCUAUUGAUUAGGGCAAACAACACAAGCUCCCAACCUGUUUGAGCGAGACUCCAAACCCAGCCCUGUCUCAACAAUGUUUGGGCCAACAUAUAACCAGUCCCAUUGUCGGCUAUAACAAAAUUGCAACGUAUUAUUUGAUUUUAACAUUUAUUGCUAUUGCUGAAUGCCUGCUUGGCAGGAAUCCCCACAGUGAACAAAUGGAAGUGGUUCAUUAUGUUUAUACACCUUCUGAUGAAAUUGGAAAUCUGGGUCUCAAUUAGUCCAUUGCCAAUUUCCCUGCUUGAAAAACAGAGUGCAAACAAACUGCAUAGCAACAGAACAAGCCUUGUGGAUAGACUGAAACUAGACACUUCUGUGACGCCUUAUUCCUAACCAACUACCAAGCAAAUCGAGGAGAACUAGAUAUAAGAGUGUGCAAACCUCAUCAUUAAUAGAAGCCACUGUAUUGUAGAAACUUGGUGAGUUCUACAUUGGAGAUGUCUUCAAUUUAACACGCCAAAGUGCAUAUUAUUAUUGCGAGAAAAUGAAAGUUUGGGGACUGAAACACUAAAACAAAAUAAAUGCAGUGUGGUAGACGAAGAUGCAGUUGAAUGGUGAGACGAAAUCAUGCAGUUCCUUUGAGCUUCUUGGUGAUGCCAGCAGUGUACAUCCCCUGGUGGAAAGCUUGCGCCAACUCUAUCUCAGUAGGCUGUCUUGAGCCGUCCCCAGCGUAAGUUCCUGCACCAUAGGGGGAACCACCCUUCACCUGCUCUAUCUCAAACAUGCCAGCUCCAAAUGUAUAUCCAAUGGGAACAAAGAUCAUGCCAUGGUGAACAAGCUGGGUGAUGGCUGUCAA
rnacentral:lncRNA from 1 species